UAUAAAGGCGUAUCAUUGGAGACAGAUGAAGAAGAUCAAGGUAUAUGCGAUGCACCCAUGAUAAUCACUAUUUCUAUUUAUCAGCUAGCUCUUGGCUGCAGUGCUUGCCUUGAAUCAUUUAAGCUACUGUGCAGCAAGCAUCAUUCUUCUUACUGCAAAAUGUUCAUCUGCCCUCUGUUAUGAAGAAAAGCUGAAUGUUUCUACUUUGCUACUUGUUUGACUUCCAUUGUUUCUUGUAAAGUCCUAAGUUAUCCUGUAAAAUGGAUUCUUAUGAUGCAAAUGGACUGACGGACAUAAUUUUUGACAGGAAAUAUGGGUUGCUAGUUUGCUACUUGAAGAAAGGAUGGCAGGUUGAUGGUGAUGGAAGAUCUUGAAGAGCUGAAAAAAUUCAUCUUGUUGUAGCCUCUAGUCUUAUUGCAAUUGAUUUUGUCUUUAGUCUUGCUGCAAAUAAAGGAUGGCAGGUUGUAUUAAUGCAAUUUAUCUUGCAUUCAGAUUAUGUACUUGUUGUAUCCUGACAGGUUGUAGUCUUAAUACAUGGAGAGUAAAUAGUAUGAACUUG
rnacentral:lncRNA from 1 species